GUGUUCGCUUUGGCAGCACAUAUACUAAAACUGGAAUGACACAGAGAAGAUUAGCACAGCCCCUGUCCAAAGAUGACACGCAAAUUCAUGAAGCAUUCCAUAUUUUA